rnacentral:ribozyme from 1 species
AGAAACAAAAAACAGUGACAAUAUUUCAUUGCCAUCAAUGUAUCUCGUGUACAAAUGCCUCCUUUUUUUCCUGUUUUUGUUUUUAUCCCCUGUUGAUGUUCUUUUGAUAAUUACGAAGAAGAAG